CAUUUACUAAACGCCAGAAAAUCUUAAAAGAAGAACAUCUAUCAAUUUACAACUAUUUACAACGAUUUCCUUGUUUACAAAGUGAAAUAGGAUAUCAAUUGUUGGAAAAUGACUUUAAACAAAUGUUUCCUGAUAAUCAUAAUAAGCUGCAAAUUAACUGGCCAUUAAUUAAAUUAAAACUUAUUCAAGUUUUGACAGAAAGUACAAAAAAAUUAAAUUUAAGAGAUUCAGCUCUUCUUCAGGAAUUACAUCGCAGUGACCCAUUGAUAUCUGUUCAGGUAGACAUCUUCUCAGGUAGAUAUUCCAGAAAAUCAGCAAAAACUUAGCAAAGGCACAAAAAGACCACGAUUAAUAACACAUCGACCAGCUUCUCUGCAAGAAGCGAGAGAAGGAUUAUUCCUAAUUGUACCUAAUGUGGCAAACUUGGAUAUUAUUGUACAGCAAAAAGAUCUGAAUAUAAGACUUUAGGUUUAUCUGUACAACCAUUGCCCAUUUUUGUUGGAGAAGUAGAUAAUAUUCAAGAUGCUUAUGUCAUCAUAGAUGAUAUUAUUUAUCGAGCUAAAGAACCUAUGCGAGCAAUUGAAAUUGCAUUUGCGAUUUGUAUGGCCGUCGAUGGUAAAUAUUCAGCUCCAGCUUUACAUUCAUGGUUA